rnacentral:ncRNA from 1 species
UCCUUCGGGGCUGGGUGCAAUUCCCGACCGGCGGUGAUGGUAUGCUGUGCACGUACCGUGCACGAUGCGUACCUUAGCCCGUGACCCGCGCAAGCGGUGGACUCGGUGAAACUCCGGGGCCGACAGUAUAGUCUGGAUGGGAGAAGGA